AUCUUAAACACUUGUUACAUGGCACCUGAUACUUUAUUACAUUUCUAGUGGCGGACGGGUGAGUAACACGUUGGAACCUGCCCCAAAGUGAGGAAUAAGCCACCGAAAGGUGGUCUAAUACUUCAUAAUAUCCAUCUCGUAUGGAUUAAAGCUUUAUGCGCUUUGGGAGGGGCCUGCGUAACAUUAGCUAGUUGGUGAGGGUAAAAGCUCACCAAGGCUUCGAUGUUUAACUGGUUUGAGAGGAUGACCAGUCACACUGGGACUGAGAUACGGCCCAGACUCCUACGGGAGGCAGCAAUAAGGAAUCUUCCACAAUGGGGCAACCCUGAUGGAGCAAUACCGCGUGCAGGAUGAAGCGUUUCGGCGUGUAAACUGCUUUUAUCACCGAAGAUUAUGACUGUAGGUGAAGAAUAAGGACCGGCUAACUACGUG
rnacentral:rRNA from 1 species